rnacentral:rRNA from 1 species
GAUGAACGCUAGCGGCAGGCCUAAUACAUGCAAGUCGAACGGAGUGGAGCAGCAAUGCUUCACUUAGUGGCGCACGGGUGCGUAACGCGUAUGCAACCUACCUUUUAUUGGGGGAUAGCCCGAAGAAAUUCGGAUUAAUACCGCAUAAUAUCACUUGAGGGCAUCUGAGGAUGAUGAAAGCUUUGGCGAUAAAAGAUGGGCAUGCGUGUCAUUAGCUAGUUGGUCGCGGUAACGGCUCACCAAGGCGACGAUGACUAGGGGUUCUGAGAGGAUGAUCCCCCACACUGGUACUGAGAUACGGACCAGACUCCUACGGGAGGCAGCAGUAGGGAAUAUUGGGCAAUGGCGGAAACGCUGACCCAGCCAUGCCGCGUGCCGGAUGAAGGCCUUCUGGGUUGUAAACGGCUUUUACCAGGGAAGAACCUACCUUUGCGAAGGGAACUGACGGUACCUGGUGAAUAAGCACCGGCUAACUCCGUGCCAGCCGCCGCAGUAAAAC